rnacentral:lncRNA from 1 species
UGAAAAACGUAAUAGGCUGCUACUCUAGGCUCGCUUUGCUUCUUCAAGCUCCGCCCCUUAUUGAAAAUUAAAGCGCUAACACGCCUUAUAUUAUUUAGUAAAGCAACCUUUCGCGCUAGGCACUCAUGUUUUUUGUCUGGGUGGAAGCUGGCGGCAGGGCUUGCUUAACCGGAUACAUGGAAUUGGGAUCUCCUUGCAUGCAACUAUUUCUAUCGAGAAAGCCUC